ensembl:lncRNA
GACCGGUCUUGACAACUUGUCGUUAGCUACAAUUUAAAAAACUGUUUUCAUUUUUGAAAUUCAAGUGCAAGUUCAAGUGCCACAAUUACAAUCAAAUGCUUAAUAUGAAAAAACGAAAAACAAUGGAACAAAGGUAUGUUUCUGUGAAUUGAAUCAAAAUUUGAGAUCGUCAAUGCCAUAUGCUACAUCGUUAGUGUAGCAUGAAAGCUAAUAGUAACAAUGUUAGUAAAAAAUCAUUUAUUUCCCAUUAGGUAGCAUGAAUUAUAUUCAUUACAGAUAAGUAUAUUAAUAUCCAUUGUCAUGAACUGGUAUACCAUUUUUUGAUUGGUUUAGAAGGCUUGAAUGUAGUUUGGUUGUUCGGUUGAGCUUUACAGUAGCUAGUAGAGAGAGAAUAUACUAAUUAGGUGUGUGGAUCAAAUUAAUUGUUAAUUUUUGCCAUUUUUCCUAGUGUAUGCUGUUAUUUUAAAUUAAUAAUAAUAUUUAAUUUCUGUACAAAAGUAAAAAGCUCGUUUUUGGUUGAUUGCUGGUCCACAUGACAAUUCUAGACGAGACCCAUCCUAACAACAUUUGGUGCUGUAACUGAAAAUAAGCUGCUGUUUACCACAAAGAGGUAUAUAUAGUUUUAAUAAAAAGAGGUAUACAGUGUUUAGAAUGACACAGACUUUUUGGAAAGACAGGAAGAACAUGAUUCAGUGUCGACUAGGGAGGUAGAUCCAGUUCCUUUGCAACAAGUGUGAAUAUUGCCUAGAUAAUAUGGGGGCUAAAAGUAGUUUCGCAAACUGUUGAAAUCUUUUUAUCUUCUCUUUCUACAGUUGGUGCAUCAUCAUCAUCAUUUUUGUGUUUCUGCUGUAUAUCUCAGGUGAGAUUUUAAUAUUUUAAAUGAAACUUCAUGUCACAUGCAGAAAGAUGAAUGGUGUGUUUGCUGUUUUUAGGUGUUUUCUCUGCUCCUGUGUGGGUCACAGUUAAAGGUUUUGUUGGAGACUCAGCUAUCUUCUCUUGUUCAAUCCCUGAAAGUGAGAUUCAAGGCAAAACAGAAGAAUUCAGUGUACACUUGAGAGACGAUGAAGGCAAGACAGUGUGUGACAUCAUUAGAGGUAGCAUAGCUGAAGAUCAAGAUCCAAAGUACAAGGACAGAGUCGAAACGUUCCCAGACGAGUAUAAGAAGGGCAACUUCUCCAUCAAACUCAACAGUCUUCAAAAAACUGAUGCAAGGGAGUACAUCUGUCACAUCACAGGACCAUCUCAGAAUCACACCAUCACAGAGCUUCAUGUUGAAGAUAGACCAGGAGGAAGAGGCAACCACGGAAGACUAAAUGGAGAACUAUCAUCAAUUGUCUAUUUUUUAGUCAUAUUUUUCUUAGCUGGCAUACUGAUUUUUAUGUUUGUAGCAGUCACUUUUUGUGUAGCAAGGAUGGUAUUCAGGAACUAGUGUAUUGGGGGGUCCCUGGUCCCUGAUAAUUGCACCACCUUUCACCACGUCAGCAACAGAUUGUUUGUUUUCUUCUGUUACUGACAAUCAGUCAGACACAGUGUCGAAAGUAUUUUUACUCCGUUACAGUACUUCAGUACAUUUUUCAAACUGGAAAAAACAACAACAACAACAAAACACCAUCAUUCUUUGAUGUUUUAACCUGAACAUUUCAGACAUGAAGAACCCAAGCACAGUAUAAUAUUAGGAAACUUGACUUUACUAGAUGAUUAAAAUGGUCAGGAAAUAUUAACCAUCACAUACAAUGACAAAUUAAACAUAAUAGCUGCAUAUACACAAGUUAACUACAAGAGACUUUUAACAUACAUGAACAUCAAAAUAAAAGUAUCUAAGAGUAUCUAAAAUCA